UAGGGAAUCUUCGGCAAUGGGGGGAACCCUGACCGAGCAACGCCGCGCGAGUGAAGAAGGUUUUCGUAUCGUAAAGCUCUGUUGUUAAGGAAGAACGAGUGUGAGAAUGGAAAGCUUAUGCUGUGACGGUACUUAACCAGAAAGGGACGGCUAACUACGUGCCUGCAGCCUCGGUAAUACGUAGGUCCUGAGCGUUAUCCGGAAUUAUUGGGCUUAAAUGGCAUCUAGGCGGUAAGACAAGUAGAAGGUGAAAACCUGUGGCUCAACCAUAGGGAUGCCUACAAAACUGUUGAACUAGAGUACUGGAAAGGUGGGUGGAACUACAAGAGUAGAGAUGAAAUGCGUAGAUAUGUGUAGGAAUGCAGAUGAUGAAGAUAGCUCGCUGGACAGUAACUGACGCUGAAGUGCGAAAACGAGGGGAGCAAACAGG
rnacentral:rRNA from 1 species